rnacentral:tRNA from 1 species
AGGAUUUUAAGUUAUUUUAAACUAAAAACCUUCAAAGUUUUAAAAAAAAGUAAAUUCUUUUAAAUCCUAC